GACGAACGCUGGCGGCGUGCUUAACACAUGCAAGUCGAACGGAAAGGCCCUGCUUUUGUGGGGUGCUCGAUUGGCGAACGGGUGAGUAACACGUGAGUAACCUCCCCUUGUCUUUGUGAUAUCUUCAGGAAACUGGGGCUAAUACCGCAUAGGAGCUCUUGCUGCACGGUGGGGGUUGGUAAGUUUCGGCGUUUGGGGAUGGACUCGCGGCUUAUCAGCUUGUUUGUGGGGUAGUGACUUUCCAAGGCUUUGACGGCUAGCCUGCCUGAGAGGGUGACCGGGCACAUUGGGACUGAGGUACGGACCAGAAUCCAACGGGAGGCAACAGUGGGGAAUAUUGCACAAUGGGCGGAAGCGUGAUGCGACGACGCCGGGUGCGGGAUAACGGCCUAGGGGUUGUAAACAGCUUUCGACGGUGACGAGCAGUGAGUGACGGUAAUGGGUAAAGAAGCACCGGCUAACUACGUG
rnacentral:rRNA from 1 species